GGUCAAAUGGUAAACAAGAAGGAUUGGAAUUCAGAAAUAUGCACUUCAGUAAAUGCUGAGCAAAAGUAUUUAUUCUGCUUGCCCAACACUAAAAAAAUGUGUCGCUAUUGUUUCUGGAGGCACACUUAUUUUAAAGCCCUAAAAUGACAAAAUUUGCAGGUAAUGUCAUUGAUGUUAACUUACAAAGCUGCUUGAAAUAAUGUAGCAUCAAAUCAUUACAAUUACCUGAAGAAUUUGAGAAAAAUACAAAGUGGUUUCCAUCUUGAAUCCAAGAAUAAAUUGAUAGCAACAGUAAUUACAAUUUAUGCAAAAUUACUAAGAGGCCAAACACAUCCAUUUGGUCAAACCAGACACUAAAGGUUCAACGCCUAGGUGGCUUGCUUAGUUUUAAUCAAGGAUAUUCACUCUAUCUUCCAAAAUAUGACACUGGAGGUGCGUUUGGUUAAUUGGAUUAAGCAUGAUAAAUCUGGAAUUGGCAUACCAAUAGGACAUGACAAAAAUGGAUUCUUGUAUUGCCAUGUUGAGUUGUCCUUUUUCUUGUAUUAUGCUAUUCCGUCCUUCAAACUAGGCACAGCCCAAGAGUACAAUCACUGGGGGGGAAACUAUCUUCUACAUUCCUUUGCAGGAAGCAACUAGUCCAAAUGAAGAAAUGAGUAUGUGAAGGAUAAGUGAGUGAAUCGUUGCUAAGUUACCACAAUAACCAGCCCCUUAAAACUGAAAAAACAACAUGAUGCUACCAAGAUCUUGCAGCAUGUUGAGAAUUCGCUAUUUCCCUCAUAACAGCCCCCACAAUUGCUGCCUGCUCAACACAUUCAGCCCUACACAGGGCAUCCCAAAGAGCAAUGCAAGUUUUGGCAUGAAUUUUAUGACCUUUCAACCGAGUUUCCUCAAAAAGUCCAUAUGCCUCCAUUGCCCUAUCUGCAUAACUUAAUCCUUCUAUGAUGGCAUUAUAACAAGCAGAAUCAGGUAUACCCCCGCUUGCCUUGAAUCUUUCAAAGAGUGAAUUAGCAUCUGCAAUGUUCCCAGCCUUGGCAAGUCCAGCAAUCAUUGUAGUGUAAGUAAUGGUGUUGGGUUCUAACCCUUGCUUCAGCAUCUCUUGCCAAAACACAAAGGCUUUGUUAAAUUUUCUAAUCAUGCAGAGACCAUUUAUGAGAAUGCUGUAAGUUAUAAGAUUGGGAGUGCAUUUCAGGUUUUUCAUGGACUGAAAGCAGAUAAGAGCUUCAUUAAUUUCCUCUGCCUUCACCAAUGCAUCAAGCAAGCAAUUCCAUGUGCACACAUUAGGUGUUAAACCUUUCUGCAUCAGCUCUUCCAUGAUUAGAUAUGCCUCAUCAAUUCUACCCACUUUUCCAAACCCAUCAAUGAGACUGCUAUAGAUAACAACAUUUAACUUUAUGCCAUUUGACUUUGCUUCUUCAAAGAGCAUAUAUGCUUCAUCAAGCCUAUCAAUUUUGGCUAGGCCAUCGAUGACAGAACCAUAGGUGACAACAGUUGGUUGGUGGCCCUUAGUCUUCAUUUCCUCCAGCAGCUGAUAGGCUUUAUUCACCUUACCUGACUUGCAGAACCCAUCAAUAACUGUGUUGUAAGCACGGGUGUCCAGAACACAUCCCUGGUCCUUCAUAGCAUGGAACAACUCAUAAGUUUCACCUGCAAAACCAGCUUUCACAAGGCCAUGAAUUAGGAUAGAAUAGCUUCUGACAUCUGGAACAAAUCCUCGAGCUUUUAUUUCCUCAAACAAAGCCCUUCCUUUCUCAGUUUCACCUGCUUUAAAAAUACAAUCCAUGUAGGUAUUAAGAAGCAUAAGGUCAGGAGAACAACCCCUAUGGAUCAUUUCCUUGUAUAUCUUGUGACCAUCCUCCUUCCUGCCGCAUCUGAAGAAGUUUCUAAUCAGGGACGUAUACACAAUAGCAUUUGGUAUUUUAUCAGAAUCCAACAUCUGUUCAUAAAGCCUGUAGGCAUCAUCUACUCUACCUUGUUUGCCCAAACCGUCUAUAAGUGAACAAAAUGUAACCUCAUCUGGGGUGCAAACUUUAUGAUUCAUUCCCUCAAAUAUAGAACGAGCCUCAUCAAGUUUUUGUGCUUUACAUAGUCGAUCAAUCAUUAUGUUUACAGUCAUGACAUUAGGAAACAAGCCAGCUUCUUCCAUUGCACCCCGAACCUUGAAAGCAGUCUCAACUUCUCCUGCUCUGCAUAGCAUGUCUACUAGAAUAUUAUACGUUGCAAGAUUGGGCACUGCAUCUUUCUUCAUCUCCUCAAAGAUUUUUAACGCCUCCCCUAAUCUUCCCAUUUUCCCAAGGCAUGUCAGAAUGCAAUUGUAUGCAACCACGCUUGGAAUGCACCCCUUUGCUUUUUGUCUCUCAAGUAAACUGUAAGCCUCGCCAAACUUCCCAGCUGAUCCAUACCCCAUAAUCAUGGUGUUGUAGGCAUAUGCACAUGGGACUUUUCUGUUUUGUUCCAUCUGCUCGAAUAUUUCCACUGCUUCGUCCAGUCUGUUUGCUUUGCAGAGAACACCUAUCAUGCUUGUAUAAGUCACGUCAUCUGGCAAUAAACCAUGUGCUUUCAUCUCAUGAAAGAACUUCCAAGCCAUAUCCACCUUACCCACCUUACCAAAGCAAUCUAUACAGACAUUAUAAAGAACAAUGUCAGCAUUAAAACAGUUGCUUUUCAUCUCAUCCAACAGGGAGAGAGCUGCAUCAAGACGACCCUCCCUGGCAAACACACGAAUCAGAGUUGUAAACAUGUGUACACUUACUUCAUAACCUAUUUCCUGCAUUUGAUGAAAGAGAGUAAGCAUGAGGUCAGAUUCAUGAACUCCAGACAGAGCACCAAUCAAAGCAGUAUAAGCUGAAAAUGCAGGGCGAAAUUUGAAUUUCCUCAUGCACUGAAUAAGAUCAAAAGCUUCUCUGAGCUUCCGUGACUUGACACAGUUCGAAAUUAACUCAAUGCAUGUGCUAUUAGAUGGGCCAAAUCCAGCAAUACUCAUUUCUCCCAGAAUUUGUUCGAAAUAAUUAAACUUCCUCGUUUUAGCCAUCACCAAAAGAAGUGAAUUGUAUGCUUCGGGACAUAAUGCCUGAUCAGUUUUUUUCUCAGCCCACCGAAAAUAAUUUACUGCUUGUUUAGCAUCCUUCAGCCUCCUUAAGACUCCAAUAAUAAAUUCUGGUUGAGGACUUUCAUCAAGCAUUGACAAAGCACUCUCAACUGGGGGUCCCCAAGGACCACUUUCCAAAAUACGGCACACAUCAUCGACUCCUUGCCUUACGCUGCCAAUUUUUUUCCGGUUGUCUUGAUUAUGCUCUUCCAUAAAGGGAGAGAAUUUCCCACCCAAUGCAGAAGAAGGAGGCCCAUUAGACAAGGAGGUUAACUUUCUGGCAUUGGUAACAAAAUGCCAACACCUUGAAUCACAGCUGAAUAGUAUUCCUGGGUUCUUCAAAAGCAUCUUCAUAUAUGCAUGUCUGGCCAACUGCUAUGCCUUUUACCUUCCAGAUUUAUCUUUAAUGAAAAGAAGACCCACAGAGUAUUUUAAGGUUUAGGGUUUAAGGAAGAAUGAGGAGAAGGAGGGACGAGAGAGUCAAGGAAUGCAGAGAUGAGAGUCGAAGAAAACAGGAGCUG
rnacentral:misc_RNA from 1 species